rnacentral:misc_RNA from 1 species
GAUGAAGAACGUAGCGAAAUGCGAUAAGUAAUGUGAAUUGCAGAAUUCAGUGAAUCAUCGAAUCUUUGAACGCGCAUUGCGCCCGGUAGUAUUCUGCCGGGCAUGCCUGUUCGAGCGUCAUUUCAACCAUCAAGCCCCAGCGCUUGUGUUGGGGGCCUGCGGCUGCCGCAGCCCCCUAAAAGCAGUGGCGGGCUCGCUAUCACACCGAGUGCAGUAGUUCAUCUUCUCUCCGGUCUUGUGAGGCGGGUUCCGGCCGUGAAACACCCCACUACAUUCAAGGUUGACCUCGGAUCAGGUAGGAAUACCCGCUGAACUUAAGCAUAUCAAUAAGCGGAGGA